UUCAUGUGCCAUGUCACCCUGCAGCCCAAGACCGGUUACUCACUGAAGCUAAGCAGGGCUGAGCCUGGUCAGUACCUGAAUGGGAGACCACUAGGGAUCACUAGGUUGCUGUUGGAA
rnacentral:rRNA from 1 species